AUUCCCCUAGUAACGGCGAGUGAAGUGGGAAAAGCUCAACUUUGUAAUCUGGCAGCUUUGCUGUCCGAGUUGUAGUCUCGAGAAAUGUUUUCCGCGCUGGCAUGUGUAUGAGUCUGUUGGAAUACAGCGUCAUAGAGGGUGAGAACCCCGUUCAUGACACAUCUCCCAGUGCUUUGUGAUACAUUUUCGAUGAGUCGAGUUGUUUGGGAAUGCAGCUCAAAAUGGGUGGUAAAUUCCAUCUAAAGCUAAAUAUUGGCGAGAGACCGAUAGCAAACAAGUACCGUGAGGGAAAGAUGAAAAGCACUUUGGAAAGAGAGUUAAAAGUACGUGAAAUUGUUGAAAGGGAAACGCUUGAAGUCAGACGUGCGCAGUGCGAUUCAGCUCUAUUUCGGUAGAGUGUAUUUCGUGCUAUUGCAGGCCAGCAUCGGUUUUGCGAGCCGGAUAAAGGUUAGUGGAAGGUAGCAUCUUCGGAUGUGUUAUAGCCUCUAACUGAAUACGGAUUGCGAGACCGAGGGACGCAGCACGGCGCAAGCCAGAAGAUUCGUCUUCUUCGUGCUUAGGAUGCUGGUGAAAUGGCUUUAAACGACCC
rnacentral:rRNA from 1 species